GUUUGGGGAAUUUUAUUUAUUACUGCUAAUAAUAAUUUGGGCAUUAGUGUGCCCGUUCC
rnacentral:tRNA from 1 species